rnacentral:rRNA from 1 species
AGAGUUUGAUCAUGGCUCAGAUUGAACGCUGGCGGCAGGCCUAACACAUGCAAGUCGAGCGGAUGAAGGGAGCUUGCUCCUGGAUUCAGCGGCGGACGGGUGAGUAAUGCCUAGGAAUCUGCCUGGUAGUGGGGGAUAACGUCCGGAAACGGGCGCUAAUACCGCAUACGUCCUGAGGGAGAAAGUGGGGGAUCUUCGGACCUCACGCUAUCAGAUGAGCCUAGGUCGGAUUAGCUAGUUGGUGGGGUAAAGGCCUACCAAGGCGACGAUCCGUAACUGGUCUGAGAGGAUGAUCAGUCACACUGGAACUGAGACACGGUCCAGACUCCUACGGGAGGCAGCAGUGGGGAAUAUUGGACAAUGGGCGAAAGCCUGAUCCAGCCAUGCCGCGUGUGUGAAGAAGGUCUUCGGAUUGUAAAGCACUUUAAGUUGGGAGGAAGGGCAGUAAGUUAAUACCUUGCUGUUUUGACGUUACCAACAGAAUAAGCACCGGCUAACUUCGUGCCAGCAGCCGCGGUAAUACGAAGGGUGCAAGCGUUAAUCGGAAUUACUGGGCGUAAAGCGCGCGUAGGUGGUUCAGCAAGUUGGAUGUGAAAUCCCCGGGCUCAACCUGGGAACUGCAUCCAAAACUACUGAGCUAGAGUACGGUAGAGGGUGGUGGAAUUUCCUGUGUAGCGGUGAAAUGCGUAGAUAUAGGAAGGAACACCAGUGGCGAAGGCGACCACCUGGACUGAUACUGACACUGAGGUGCGAAAGCGUGGGGGGCAAACAGGAUUAGAUACCCUGGUAGUCCACGCCGUAAACGAUGUCGACUAGCCGUUGGGAUCCUUGAGAUCUUAGUGGCGCAGCUAACGCGAUAAGUCGACCGCCUGGGGAGUACGGCCGCAAGGUUAAAACUCAAAUGAAUUGACGGGGGCCCGCACAAGCGGUGGAGCAUGUGGUUUAAUUCGAAGCAACGCGAAGAACCUUACCUGGCCUUGACAUGCUGAGAACUUUCCAGAGAUGGAUUGGUGCCUUCGGGAACUCAGACACAGGUGCUGCAUGGCUGUCGUCAGCUCGUGUCGUGAGAUGUUGGGUUAAGUCCCGUAACGAGCGCAACCCUUGUCCUUAGUUACCAGCACCUCGGGUGGGCACUCUAAGGAGACUGCCGGUGACAAACCGGAGGAAGGUGGGGAUGACGUCAAGUCAUCAUGGCCCUUACGGCCAGGGCUACACACGUGCUACAAUGGUCGGUACAAAGGGUUGCCAAGCCGCGAGGUGGAGCUAAUCCCAUAAAACCGAUCGUAGUCCGGAUCGCAGUCUGCAACUCGACUGCGUGAAGUCGGAAUCGCUAGUAAUCGUGAAUCAGAAUGUCACGGUGAAUACGUUCCCGGGCCUUGUACACACCGCCCGUCACACCAUGGGAGUGGGUUGCUCCAGAAGUAGCUAGUCUAACCGCAAGGGGGACGGUUACCACGGAGUGAUUCAUGACUGGGGUGAAGUCGUAACAAGGUAGCCGUAGGGGAACCUGCGGCUG